GGAUUCCCUUAGUAACGGCGAGUGAACAGGGAUUAGCCCAGCACCGAAGUCUGCGUCCGUUUGGGCGUUGGACAAUGUGGUGUUUAGGUUGGCAUUUUCAGGUGUUGCUCCGUUUAAAGUCCAUUCUUGAAUAUGGCUAAUAGUUUGGCCCAGAGAGGGUGAAAGGCCCGUGUGGAUGGAGUGAUGCUUGUCUUUGUUAACUGAAGAGUCGGGUUGUUUGAGAAUGCAGCCCAAAGUUGGUGGUAAACUCCAUCUAAGGCUAAAUACUGGCACGAGUCCGAUAGCGAACAAGUACCGUGAGGGAAAGUUGAAAAGUACUCUGAAGAGAGAGUUAACAGUGCGUGAAACCGCUUAGAAGCAAACGGGUGUAGUCAAGCUGCAAGCCUUAAGAAAUAGGCUGACCAGAGUGGCGUGAGCCUGAGCACAUAGGGCUGGUAUAAUAGGUCUGACUAUAUGUCAUAUACGGCUCGUAAGAGUCGUAUUUGCGGAGUGCUAUUUGGCGCUGCAAGCCUGUUUAUCAGUUGCUCUGCUGGUCAUCUCACUUUCUUUUGGCGUAUGUCACGACCGUCGUUGCUGUCGGUCUGCUCCAUUUAAACCGCUUCGUUAGUAGUCUCAUGCUACUGGUGUUGCGGGGGCAGGUAGCUGGUCUGGUUCGCCUGACUAGUGUAAUUGCUGAGUGGAGUGGUACCCUUAACUGUGCAGUGCGACGGGGCUGGCGGUGCAUUGUUGCUGAGUGCGCUAUAGCGUGUCGGCGUGGCUGGCGUAUGGCUGCUUGUUGCUGUUUUAUACGGCCUUGUGGUUGCACGGCUACGGUUUGAUGUGCGGUUGUGCUUGGUCAAUGUUGCAUUGUGCCUAUAGUCAG
rnacentral:rRNA from 1 species